rnacentral:rRNA from 1 species
AUUGAACGCUGGCGGCAUGCCUUACACAUGCAAGUCGAACGGCAGCGGGGACUUCGGUCCGCCGGCGAGUGGCGAACGGGUGAGUAAUGUAUCGGAACGUACCAUUGAGUGGGGGAUAACUAUCCGAAAGGAUAGCUAAUACCGCAUAUUCUCUCCGGAGGAAAGCAGGGGACCGCAAGGCCUUGCGCUCAUUGAGCGGCCGAUAUCAGAUUAGCUAGUUGGUGAGGUAAAGGCUCACCAAGGCGACGAUCUGUAGCGGGUCUGAGAGGAUGAUCCGCCACACUGGAACUGAGACACGGUCCAGACUCCUACGGGAGGCAGCAGUGGGGAAUUUUGGACAAUGGGGGCAACCCUGAUCCAGCCAUGCCGCGUGAGUGAAGAAGGCCUUCGGGUUGUAAAGCUCUUUCGGCCGGGAAAAAAUCGCAUGGGUUAAUACCCUGUGUGGAUGAUGGUACCGGAAUAAGAAGCACCGGCUAACUACGUGCCAGCCGCCGCGGUAACAC